CCUCGCGGUAGCGCUCGCCAUUGAUGGUGACGGUCCGGCCAUCUUCUUCGAACCAGUAGGGACCGAGGAGGCCGUGAGUGGCGUUGUAGGCCACGAAGGCAGUGACCUUCGGGCCCUUCAGCUGCUUCUCCGUUACUUCUUCCGGUGGAUGCGUCUUACGCUGGUUUUAGCAAGUCCGAGCUGUUGAGAGCGUCGACGGAGCGACUUCUUGGGACUGGCAAUGACGGAAUUUCGCACGGCCGCGAUGGUCUCUGGGGACUUUGAAACCGAUGCUGGCCUGCCGCUGCUGCCCCUGUGAGUAUUCAGGACUGAACCUGUUGUCUCAAAAUGGUUAACAAACCUUGCAAUGAGUUUGUUGCAGGGCAGAUCUCGAGUUUCCAUGUCACACUCGCGUCGAAGUCGGCGGCGGACGGUGACGUACGAUUUCGUCUCGAACCAUAAUCGGA
rnacentral:lncRNA from 1 species